UGGCCGCGUGGGUUUUCGACGCCUUUCCUUGUCUAAAACAUUUGUAGACCUGAUAAGGCGUCGAGAUAUUAGUUUAACCGCAGAUGACCCGCACGUGAUUCGCCAAUGUCACCGCUUCAUAUUUCUAAGAAAAGUAAACCGCCCCACUUCUCUCACACAUUCACCCUAACUCCGACGAUGAACUCCUUCACUCCAUCUGCAUUUUGCUGGAAAAAUUCCUCAUUUCUUCCAGAUCCACUCUCAAAUGUUAAUGGAGGUCGAAGUUGUAGGAUGAUUCUGUUAUAUUUUUUGAGAGAAUAUCACGUGAGGAAUCAGAAAAAGUUGAGGCGAUUAGCUUCGAGAAGAGUAGUGAUAUGACGCCCUGUCAACUCAUCGCUCGAUGCUUAUGGUUUUUGUUGUUGCUCAAUACCAUGAGAUGAAUGCUAAGACAGCAGCAGAACACUAAAAACAGAAGAAAACAACAGCACAUGCACUUCUGAAUUCUGAUAUGUUCAUAUUGGUUCUUCUGAUAGACUAACCAUCUUUCUAAGCAAGCCCCCAAGCUUUCCCAUGUCUACCAUCCUGCAAAAACAAACCCCAAAUACCUCAGUAAUCAAAACAGAAAAACACGACGACAAAAAACAUAAAUAAGACAUGCAAUUCAGGUCUAUAUUACUACACAAUAAAGUGAAUUUCAGGCCUCAUCCAAAUGAAUGCUCUGGAAGUGAUUGGUAGGUUAUUCCUGGUGAAAACUCCAUAACCCACAUGCGAAUUCAGGAUUAUUAAAAGAUUUUGGAAGUUGAAGACGAUGCAACAGACGGGAUAUAAGAUUAAGUUAUCGAAAGCUCGCUUUGAAAUGGCAUCCGGAUAAACGCAAGGACGAUAGUGUUGUUGUAGACUUGCAGCCAAAUUUCAAAAUAUUAAUGAAGCUUAUAGAGAGAAAUGUGAAAGAUAGCCAUGAAGAUUCUUUUAUAAGAGAAAAGAGGAUCAUCGGCCAAUCAGCCCCACUGUUUACUCUGCAGAAAUUCAAAUCAGCUGAAAAGAUAAGACAAUUGCAGACAUCGUCUUCAAGGUGAUACGAGUAGGAUUUCUGCUAGAUCUGAGAAUCGUGUUUUAAGCACCAAGCCAAAUCCUCUGCUUGCUGAAAAUUAUCAUUCACCCUCUCUGGUGCCGAACACGUAUGAAAAGCUUGUACGAACCGAAAUGCAUAACUUACAUGCAUAAAGCUGAGGUUGCUAGAGAGGAGACAGAGUUGGGAUUCUAUAUUGAUUUGACGCCCUGUUGUUAUCCAUUGAUUGUAUUCUUUGUUAGAUAAUUUUUUGCAAAGUAUUAGGUUUUAUAUUUGAGGGAGUUUUGAUGUAAGCAUACCCAUGUAACUGAUAUUUUUUUAUUCAUAUUUUUUGAAAUAUAACAAGUUAACGUGAAAAUAUUCC